rnacentral:lncRNA from 1 species
CUAUUAAAAUACACAAACACAUAAACCAUGAAGAAUUAUAUGAGACUGUAUACAGGCAAUGGAUACAGCAUAUGCUUUUUUCACUAUAGCUAUGACUCCCCCCUUGUCUUCCAGAAGCUCAACCUUGACCACUUUUAGUACCUCUGAGAAAUGACUUGGUUCCCUAGAGCUACCCAUCUCCAGCUCUGAGAGCGAGCACAGAGAGGACAACCCUGGACCCCACAGCACUCAUGGUGUCGGUUAGACAAUGGGAGGAGUGGAAGCAGCACUAACGAUGACAGAAGCAAAGAGUGGCUCACAGCACACCUUCCCCAGCAACCAACAAGAGGAAAGUGCAGUAAGAGAGAAGGUGGCCGCGAGGAUGGAGCUGGUGGAGGACCGAAGCCGCCGCUGCUAGUGAUAAUGCACAAACAUGUGCCGCAAGAGCUCCUCCGCUGAAGGUCGAAGUUUGGCCUCUACAAAAAUCCGUUUGAGGAAGUCCCGAGUAUAGUCUGAGACAUGAGGUGGCAGCUUUGGGUUCGUUGGCUGAGUGGCGAUCUUAAAGAUGGCAGCCAUUGCUUCAAAUUCAGCCCAAGGUGGCUUUUCAGUUAGCAUUUCUACCACAGUACAUGCUACACUCCUA